rnacentral:rRNA from 1 species
CAGUCGCCGCGGUAAUACGUAGGGUGCGAGCGUUAAUCGGAAUUACUGGGCGUAAAGCGUGCGCAGGCGGUUCGUUAAGACAGAUGUGAAAUCCCCGGGCUUAACCUGGGAACUGCAUUUGUGACUGGCGAGCUAGAGUAUGGCAGAGGGGGGUAGAAUUCCACGUGUAGCAGUGAAAUGCGUAGAGAUGUGGAGGAAUACCGAUGGCGAAGGCAGCCCCCUGGGCCAAUACUGACGCUCAUGCACGAAAGCGUGGGGAGCAAACAGGAUUAGAUACCCGGGUAGUCCCUGUCUCUUAUAC